UACAGAGGUCCCGAGCGUUGUUCGGAUUCAUUGGGCGUAAAGGGUGCGUAGGCGGUCUGCUAAGUUUGGUGUGAAAUCCCGGGGCUCAACCCUGGAAUGGCAUUGAAUACUGGCGGACUAGAGUACCGGAGAGGAAACUGGAAUUUACGGUGUAGCAGUGAAAUGCGUAGAGAUCGUAAGGAAGACCAGUGGCGAAGGCGAGUUUCUGGACGGUAACUGACGCUGAGGCACGAAGGCCAGGGGAGCAAACGGG
rnacentral:rRNA from 1 species